UACCACGACUGUCAUUAAGCA
rnacentral:miRNA from 2 species